GAUAGUUUGGGCUUAUUUAUUUUUUAAUAGAAGAUGUUUAUAGAGUAUUUGAGCGAAAUUUGUGUUUGUACCUAGAGAGAAGAAGUACUGUGUGGGAAAAUUUAUUUAUUUAUUGAUAAAAUUAGGUUGUUUAGUACCUUUUGUAUUAGGGUUGAUUAAUGUGAGUUAGCAUUAGCUUUUUCUCGAUUAAUCUCGGGCUAUUUUCUCUUGGUUUAUUCUCGUUGUAUAGAGUUGAAUAGGGGUUUAUAGGUAUGAAAUAUUAUUCAAGUUAUUUUUUAUCUAGUUCUCUAAGAAAUUUAAUUUUUAAUAUUUUUAUUGGUUCAAUAGGCAGGGAUUAGCUUGUUUAUGUUUUAUAUGGGUGGUAUUUUUCUUUUUGUUUGUUGAGUUGAUAGUGCUAAUUUUUAUGGAGUUAUUGUUGGGCAAAUUUUUUAAAUUAUUUUUUGUUUUUGUGUUUUUAUUGGGGCUAUUUCAUUAAUUUUAAGUGUUAUGAGAUAAUGAUUAAAUUAGUAAUAUUUUGAUUUAUUCUGUGGUAUUAAUUGAGUUUUUAAUUUUGUUUUGAGUGUGGUUUUGUGUGGGGUACUAAAAUUAGAAUUGAUGAACUAGGCAAGGUUUGAUUUCUGACUGUUUAGCAAAGACAUUGUUUUUUGUUGGGGUAAAAAAUAAGUUCUGUCCACUGCUGUUAGGUGAAGGGCUGCAGUAUUUUGACUGUAUGAAGGUAGCAUAAUCAUUAGCCUUUUAAUUGGGGGCUGGUAUGAAGGUGAAACAGGGAUUUGCUGUUUUUAUUCUAUUUGUUGAAUUUUAUUUUUGUGUGAAAAAUCACGAUUGAAUUAGAGGGACAAGAAGACCCUAAUAAAUUUUAUUUCUUAUUAUUGAUGAGUGCAUAGGUUAUUAUUAGUGCGAUUUAGUUUAGGGGGUUUGACUGGGGCGGUUGUUUAGUUGAAACAUAAACUAAUCUUCAACUUUUAAUGACGUUUGAUUAGACCUGGGGUGUUUAGAUGAGUGUGUAAUUACUGUAGGGAUAACAGCGUGAUUCUAUUUGAGAGUUCUAAUUGACGAUAGAGUUUGCGACC
rnacentral:rRNA from 1 species